UACCAGCACCCCGAGUGGUCGGGACGAUUAUUGGGCCUAAAGCAUCCGUAGCCGGUUUUACAAGUCUUCCGUUAAAUCCACCUGCUUAACAGAUGGGCUGCGGAGGAUACUACAAGGCUAGGAGGCGGAAGAGGCAAGCGGUACUCAGUGGGUAGGGGUAAAAUCCUCUGAUCCAUUGAAGACCACCAGUGGCGAAGGCGGCUUGCCAAUACGCGCUCGACGGUGAGGGAUGAAAGCUGGGGGAGCAAACCGG
rnacentral:rRNA from 1 species